UUUCCGUUGGUGAACCAGCGGAGGGAUCAUUACAGAGUUAUCUAACUCCCAAACACAUGUGAACUUACCAUUUGUUGCCUCGGCAGAGCCUACCCGGUAACUGUUCGGAGAAGCUACCCUUUAGCUACCCUGUAACGGCCUACCCUGUAACGCACUGCCGGUGGACUUUUAAACUCUUGUUAUUUUAUAGUAAUCUGAGCGUCUUAUUUUAAUAAGUCAAAACUUUCAACAACGGAUCUCUUGGCUCUCGCAUCGAUGAAGAACGCAGC
rnacentral:misc_RNA from 1 species